rnacentral:rRNA from 1 species
UACGUAGGGGGCAAGCGUUGUCCGGAUUUAUUGGGCGUAAAGAGCGUGUAGGCGGCCAGGUAGGUCCGUUGUGAAAACUCGAGGCUCAACCUCGAGACGUCGGCGGAAACCCUCUGGCUAGAGUCCGGAAGAGGAGAGUGGAAUUCCUGGUGUAGCGGUGAAAUGCGCAGAUAUCGGGAGGAACACCUAUGGCGAAGGCAGCUCGCUGGGACGUUACUGACGCUGAGACGCGAAAGCGUGGGGAGCAAACAGG